rnacentral:rRNA from 1 species
UACGGAGGGGGCAAGCGUUGUUCGGAAUUACUGGGCGUAAAGGGCUCGUAGGCGGCCAACUAAGUCGGACGUGAAAUCCCCAGGCUCAACUUGGGAACUGCGUCCGAUACUGGAUGGCUUGAAUUCGGGAGAGGGAUGCAGAAUUCCAGGUGUAGCGGUGAAAUGCGUAGAUAUCUGGAGGAAUACCGGUGGCGAAGGCGGCAUCCUGGACCGACAUUGACGCUGAGGAGCGAAAGCGAGGGGAGCAAACGGG